GUAGGCACUAUGGCCGCAUAGAUCGCCCUUGCCGCAGGUGACCGGGAAGGAGAAAUGUCCCGGUCCGGGCAAUAAAACCGGUGGCAUUUUGGGCUUAGUCCUCACCCGAAUGUCCUUUAGCCCAAGCAAAGCUGCUGCAGAUGAAGCAGUUCCCCAAGAGAGACAAGAAAGUACCCGAAGUCAAGAUGGAGAAACCGCAAGGUCAAGUGGGUUUGUCCUGCAGAGCCGUCAGCACUGUGCAAGACCCUGGGAGCCUGGCCCAGGUCCCCAUAGAGGGGGUAGAUGAACCAUCCCUGGAGACAUCCCAGGCCAGGCUGGACGGGGCUCUGAGCAACCUGAGCUGGUGAAGAUGUCCCUGUCAUGGCAGGGGGGCACUGGGGAGCUGGGAAGGUCCCUUCAACCCAAAUUGGUCUGUGAGUCUGUAGUAAAGAAAGAAACAUCCCCAGCCCUGGAGCAGAGCGACGCUGCAGCGCCCAGCGCGGACCUUCACUGAGCAGAGUGUCUCCAAACACAACAUACGGAUGGUCCUGGACCUUCAAGAGCCGCUUCCUACUUACAGCACCACAACAGUCCCCGGAAAGAAGGGCCGGUGUCAGGCGGUGGUGGGACAGGAGCUCUCCAGGCCCCGGUUCAACCUCCCGCUCACCACGGGACCAUCGCCCACAUGGGACCACGGUGGCUGCGGCUUAGUCUGAGCUUUGGAAGGUUCCCCAGCCUGGGGACACGAUGCAGGACAGCCCAGGGCUGUGCCCAUGUGACCCCCAGACAGGAGGUGCCCAAGUUUUCUCUUCAAAACGUUGAGAUUAUUUCUGUGCUUCAGAAUGACCUGUCACAGAAAGGCCAGAACGCGCCAAAGACGACGUUUGCUGCGCUUCUCCCACCCUUGUGCUAACGCUCCUGCAAGGACGCAUUCAAUUUACACAAGUUUUUAAUAUUCUCAUCCUUGCUUGGAAGUGCAAGACCCAAAGCAAAGCCAAUGGGAAGCCGACGUUCCCGCCGAUUCCAUACCGGGAGAUGAAGAGACGCGGCUCUCGGAGCGCAGGGACCACGCGCAGGACAUCCCACCGCCCUCUCCUUCCCCAGCCGCGCUCCCCAGGCACGCUGCCCACCCCUGUGGACGCUCACCGUCCGGUUCUCCCUCCACCCAUGUAGAAAUUGUUAAUUUUUCUCCUGAUUCAGUUACCGUCUGGAUCUCAGCCCUCCCAACUCAUCCCGACCAUUUCUCCCAUCACUAAACGCAUCCUCCCCGCACCCCGACGACCCCUCAGUGCUCUUCCUGACCCACUAAACCCCUCCUCACCCUCUUUCUCCUGCUUUUCUGGGUUUCUCUUCCUCGUUUUAUGAGCACACCUGAUAUUCAGGCAAUCAGUGUCAUUACGAAACCACUGCUGCCUUCUCCAGCGCUCGGUGGUUUCAAGCAGAGCACGGUGUCGCCUCCGGAGAGGCUUGAAAAGUGUGAGAACUGCGUUCUUGUGCGUCACUGUCUUUCUUUAGACUUCAGUGAACCGAUUUCAAAGAAAACCAUGUAAACAGAGACACAAUGGUCAACGGUAAAGCCGCAGCGGAGCUUUCUUCACCACAGAAUCGCACGCUUUGCUUCUUGCUUCAGGUCUCAAGGGACGUUCUCUCUGAAGUUGUCGCCACCGCGCUCUCCUUCAUCCUCUGCCGCGCUUGUUUCACCAUCCGCUUUCAAUACCAGCUCGGUCACUCCCGUCACAAAACCUUAUUUUCUGCAAAGCACCACUCGUUCCAGCCGACAUUUCAAAAAGGAACUUUGAAGAGGCAGAUUCAGGAAAAUCUUUUAUAUAUAGACAUAUAUAUAUAUAUUAUUUGUCCACCACCCAAUUCUCCCAGAAAUAAAUCAAUAUAUCAUUUCCUCCUCUAGACACAAAUACCAUCCUUUGGAAUGGUUUCAUUUCAGUGUAUUUUUCAAAGCAAUCAACAGUAACCAUCACCAAGCUGACACGGAUUUGGACGGCAGCCGUUCCCACAGCGUCUCGCUGCGGAUUGAUUUAUUCCCCUGUGACAGAAUCGCUCCAGUUCCGCUCCCUCUCCAGCACAAUCUCACCCGGUUCAUUCAGAGUCGCUCCCUCAGACUUUCUUCUCUAUGAACGCGGUAUGUUGGCCCUGAAGGUAACUCACUAUUUUUUCCUCUAUUUCCAUGC